rnacentral:rRNA from 1 species
AUGAACGCUGGCGGCGUGCCUAAUACAUGCAAGUCGAGCGAACAGACGAGGAGCUUGCUCCUCUGACGUUAGCGGCGGACGGGGGAGUAACACGUGGAUAACCUACCUAUAAGACUGGGAUAACUUCGGGAAACCGGAGCUAAUACCGGAUAAUAUAUUGAACCGCAUGGUUCAAUAGUGAAAGACGGUUUUGCUGUCACUUAUAGAUGGAUCCGCGCCGCAUUAGCUAGUUGGUAAGGUAACGGCUUACCAAGGCAACGAUGCGUAGCCGACCUGAGAGGGUGAUCGGCCACACUGGAACUGAGACACGGUCCAGACUCCUACGGGAGGCAGCAGUAGGGAAUCUUCCGCAAUGGGCGAAAGCCUGACGGAGCAACGCCGCGUGAGUGAUGAAGGUCUUCGGAUCGUAAAACUCUGUUAUUAGGGAAGAGCAAAUGUGUAAGUAACUAUGCACGUCUUGACGGUACCUAAUCAGAAAGCCACGGCUAACUACGUG